rnacentral:lncRNA from 1 species
CACCAUCAACCAACUUGCUAAUUUCCAAAUCCCUUGACUUUAUUGGCUCAUGGUAGAUCAUAUAUGCAUAAUAUGAUGAAAUUUGAAGUAUCCCUUGAAAUAUUUGAUCAAUUGGUGAGAUAGCUUGUUGGAGAAGUUACUCAAGAUACCUAGUUAAACUAGGGUUUCCAAGGCAAAUCAACCUCAAACUCUUGAAGAAAACUUGAUCAAUAUAUCAUGUAGAGGUAAUUGGGACUCAUAUAUGAUACUUAUAACCAUUCUUGAAUCAAUUAUUGGUUGUGCUCUUUGUUCAUGAGGGUCUCAAACCCUAGAUGUGAUCUUG